rnacentral:rRNA from 1 species
AUGGAGAAGCAGGGCGGCGACCCGCCAGGCGGCGCGCUCCCAUUGAAGGGGCCUGUUACUGUGCUGAGGGCAUCGCAUGGGGAUAAACACACCAGUGACACGUGCUUGGAGCAUGAUGAAAUUAACAAAGCCCAAGAAAUAUUGUUUGAAGAAAAAAGAGAUCCCGAAGAUAUGGACGAUCAACAUCUAUAUGAGGAACAGGGGCAAGAAAUAGAUGAUGAUUUAACUGAAACUGAAGUGUCAGAUAGUCUACUGUGCGACGGUGUGAUAAAUUUGGUCCGGUGCCUUGAUUUUAUUGACUUUGGGACCAUACAACUAGAGUGUACAUUGCCAAGAAUUUGUAUAUGGAAGGGGAACCCAAGACUAUCACCCAAGACUAUCUCAAAGGCAUUUCUUCUUCCACACUGCUAG